UGAUAGAGUUAUUAACCAACUUUGUUUGCAAUACAAAAAAAUUUAUUCUAUCAA
rnacentral:tRNA from 1 species